rnacentral:rRNA from 1 species
AGAGAUAGAGUGGUGCCUUCGGGAGCUUUUAUACAGGUGCUGCACGGCUGUCGUCAGCUCGUGUCGUGAGAUGUUGGGUUAAGUCCCGCAACGAGCGCAACCCUCGUCACUAGUUACUAACGGUUCGGCCGAGGACUCUAGUGAGACUGCCUUCGUAAGGAGGAGGAAGGUGAGGACGACGUCAAGUCAUCAUGGCCCUUACGGCUAGGGCAACACACGUGCUACAAUGGCCAGGACAGUGAGACGCGAUACCGCGAGGUGGAGCAAAUCUACAAACCUGGUCUCAGUUCGGAUUGUAGUCUGCAACUCGACUACAUGAAGCUGGAAUCACUAGUAAUCGUAGAUCAGCUAUGCUACGGUGAAUACGUUCCCGGGUCUUGUACUCACCGCCCGUCACACCAUGGGAGUUGAUUUCACCCGAAGCGGGGAAGCUAAACUGGCUACCCUCCACGGUGGAAUCAG